rnacentral:rRNA from 1 species
AACGAACGCUGGCGGCAUGCCUAACACAUGCAAGUCGAACGAGACCUGCGGGUCUAGUGGCGCACGGGUGCGUAACGCGUGGGAACCUGCCCUUAGGUUCGGAAUAACGCCCCGAAAGGGGUGCUAAUACCGGAUAAUGUCUUCGGACCAAAGAUUUAUCGCCUUUGGAUGGGCCCGCGUUGGAUUAGCUAGUGGGUAGGGUAAAAGCCUACCAAGGCGACGAUCCAUAGCUGGUCUGAGAGGAUGAUCAGCCACACUGGGACUGAGACACGGCCCAGACUCCUACGGGAAGCAGCAGUGGGGAAUAUUGGACAAUGGGCGAAAGCCUGAUCCAGCAAUGCCGCGUGAGUGAUGAAGGCCUUAGGGUUGUAAAGCUCUUUUACCCGGGAUGAUAAUGACAGUACCGGGAGAAUAAGCACCGGCUAACUCCGUG